rnacentral:rRNA from 1 species
UGGCCCCCGCGGUGCAUUAGCUAGUUGGUAAGGUAAAGGCUUACCAAGGCGAUGAUGCAUAGCCGAGUUGAGAGACUGAUCGGCCACAUUGGGACUGAGACACGGCCCAAACUCCUACGGGAGGCAGCAGUAGGGAAUCUUCCACAAUGGACGCAAGUCUGAUGGAGCAACGCCGCGUGAGUGAAGAAGGUUUUCGGAUCGUAAAGCUCUGUUGUUGGUGAAGAAGGAUAGAGGUAGUAACUGGCCUUUAUUUGACGGUAAUCAACCAGAAAGUCACGGCUAACUACGUGCCAGCAGCCGCGGUAAUACGUAGGUGGCAAGCGUUGUCCGGAUUUAUUGGGCGUAAAGCGAGCGCAGGCGGAAGAAUAAGUCUGAUGUGAAAGCCCUCGGCUUAACCGAGGAACUGCAUCGGAAACUGUUUUUCUUGAGUGCAGAAGAGGAGAGUGGAACUCCAUGUGUAGCGGUGGAAUGCGUAGAUAUAUGGAAGAACACCAGUGGCGAAGGCGGCUCUCUGGUCUGCAACUGACGCUGAGGCUCGAAAGCAUGGGUAGCGAACAGGAUUAGAUACCCUGGUAGUCCAUGCCGUAAACGAUGAGUGCUAAGUGUUGGGAGGUUUUCCCGCCUCCUCCAGUGCUGCAAGCUAACGCA